rnacentral:rRNA from 1 species
AGAGUGAACGCUGGCGGUAGGCCUAACACAUGCAAGUCGAACGGCAGCACAGUGGUAGCAAUACCAUGGGUGGCGAGUGGCGGACGGGUGAGGAAUACAUCGGAAUCUACCUUUUCGUGGGGGAUAACGUAGGGAAACUUACGCUAAUACCGCAUACGCCCUUUGGGUGAAAGCCGGGGAUCGCAAGACCUGGCGCGGAUA